GCACCGAUAGUUUAGUGGUAGAAUUGAAGCUUCCCAUCAUUGAAACAAUGAAUAGUCUGCUUCAGGCACGGGUUCGAUUCCCGUUCGGUGCA